rnacentral:lncRNA from 1 species
UAAGCCACUCAUCCUGCCUGCGUGUCUUAUCCGUGACUGUGAAGACGAUAUCAUUUCCAUCUGACUCUCUUGCUGCAACACUUGCUUCUGCUUCAGUAUUGGUGUUUUCUGACCUUGAUUCUUAUCACCAUAAUUCUUCCGCUGUUCUUUAUUUUCAACUUAAAACAAUCAAAUUUUAUAUGACCCUUCUUCUUAUAAUAACUACAAAUCAGAUUCCUAUGUUUUGACUUUGAUUUAGGGCAUGUUUGGUUCGCCGAAAGUGUUGUAUCGAAAGCGAUAUUUUUAGAAAGUGACGCCUUAUCGAUUGUUUGGUUUACGAAAGUGAAUAUAAAAGUCACUUUACGAAAGUGGGCUGAUAAAGUGAGUUAUAACUAAAUCUCACUUUCUUGACAUCGGCUCAGUUAAGAGGUUAGUUAAGAGGUUAUAUUU